rnacentral:rRNA from 1 species
GACAGAGGAGCCAAGCGUUGUCCGGAUUGACUGGGCGUAAAGCGCACGCAGGCGGCCCGGCGCGUGGGGUGUGAAAGCUGGCGGCUUAACUGCCAGACGCCAUCCCAUACGGCUGGGCUCGAGCCCUGCAGAGGUCCAUGGAAUUGCCGGUGUAGUGGUGAAAUGCGUAGAGAUCGGCAGGAACACCCAGGGGGAAACCAGUGGACUGGGCAGGAGCUGACGCUCAGGUGCGAAAGCGUGGGGAGCGAACAGG